ACGGGGUGCCCCGCCCGCGGCAUCACGUAGUCACCCUCCCGUAGCUUCAGGGACGGGCAGUAGUCGCCCCGGCCGUCGCCCAGGUUUGUUAAAAACCAUAGGGCCGUGAAGGAAGGGGAGGAUGCCAUCGUCAAUCAAUGAAGAUGUAGGAUUGGAUGGGCUCGGAUGGCUUCUUCAAAGGUCCUGGUGGGCUUCCUCUGGGGUUCACCGAGUUUUCAAAAACAAUUAUUACCACAAACUCAUGAUAUUAUUGGUGAUGUAGCCGACUUUCACUGCUGGCUACAAAUCACUUGCGCUAAUGACUCUAUAGUAGUGUGCAAGAAGCAUUUCUCA